UACGUAGGGGGCUAGCGUUGUCCGGAAUCAUUGGGCGUAAAGCGCGCGUAGGCGGCCCGGUAAGUCCGCUGUAAAAGUCAAAGGCUCAACCUUUGAAUGUCAGUGGAUACUGCCGGGCUAGAGUCCGGAAGAGGAGAAUGGAAUUCCUGGUGUAGCGGUGAAAUGCGCAGAUAUCAGGAAGAACACCCGUGGCGAAGGCGGCACUCUGGGCCGAUUCUGACACUGAGGAGCGAAAGCCAGGGGAGCAAACGGG
rnacentral:rRNA from 1 species